rnacentral:rRNA from 1 species
AUUGAACGCUGGCGGCAUGCCUUACACAUGCAAGUCGAACGGCAGCACGGGUGCUUGCACCUGGUGGCGAGUGGCGAACGGGUGAGUAAUACAUCGGAACAUGUCCUGUAGUGGGGGAUAGCCCGGCGAAAGCCGGAUUAAUACCGCAUACGAUCUACGGAUGAAAGCGGGGGACCUUCGGGCCUCGCGCUAUAGGGUUGGCCGAUGGCUGAUUGGCUAGUUGGUGGGGUAAAGGCCUACCAAGGCGACGAUCAGUAGCUGGUCUGAGAGGACGACCAGCCACACUGGGACUGAGACACGGCCCAGACUCCUACGGGAGGCAGCAGUGGGGAAUUUUGGACAAUGGGCGAAAGCCUGAUCCAGCAAUGCCGCGUGUGUGAAGAAGGCCUUCGGGUUGUAAAGCACUUUUGUCCGGAAAGAAAUCCUUGGCUCUAAUACAGUCGGGGGAUGACGGUACCGGAAGAAUAAGCACCGGCUAACUACGUG